UGUAAAGAUUGUGGCAAAUAAUUUCCUUCAUCUAAAUCUGAAAUAUAAUUAGUAUUUCAGACUAAUACAAAAUAGAGUAUUAAUCAUUAUAAGUGGAAAAUAAAUUACUAACCAUACCCGUAUUUAGAAUAAAGUAAAACAAAAAACUAAAAAACUUUUUUAAAUAAUAAGUCAACAUUUUAGGUGUAUGAUUAGAAUAUUUGACUUGAGAUUGACUGAUCGAGAAUUGACAAUUUAACGAAGACAGUAAUUUAGGAUAGUUUAGUAAGAUAGACUGAAGAAAUACAUAUACAACGCUGUGUAGCUGUGUGUUUGAGUGUAAAUGUAGCACACACAUCAACAACGAGCGAGAACCAGAAUCGCUUAAAAGUUAUAUGCUUGUUGUUUAUUAGUGCGAUUUUGAAAAAUGUACUCUUGUACAUUUACUAAAAUCGGGAUCAAACUUUCCAUUUUUAUUUCUAAUUCAUCUUAUUUUAUUACGAAGAUGAUUGGUUUUGAUUUUGUUCUUCUGAUUCUGAAUUUGUAAAUGUAAUUCUUAGUUUGAGUUUGUAACUUAAAUGUAUGUUACAUUACUAAAAAUAUAAGUGUAAGACGUUUAUAGGUACUUGGACGAAUAUUGAGCGCUCGGCGACAGAGUGGGGAUAGCUUUUCUCAUUAUACAAGUUUCGCAAACAAAAACAAUUUUCUUCAGUAGAAAAAUAAAAAUAAAUAAAAUUUCGAAGUAUUUACUCAUUCAACAUAAAAAUAUUCAUAAAAUGUUAAAGUCAAGUCGAAGCGCUCAGGUCAGCGCUCAAGUCAGCGCUCAAUAUCCAUACGUGUUGUGUACAGUGGAUAUAACUUUCAGUAAGUUGAUGUGUGUGAGUAGUGUAUGUAUAUGUAGAUGGUCAUGACUAGUGUACAUGUAGGUGUAACUGAGUAAGUUUAUACGGCAUGUGUGCGUGUGUGGGUGUCCGUAGGCGAGUGUGCGUAUAACCUUCAGUAAGUUGGUGUAUGUGAGUAAUGUAUGUAUAUGUAGAUGGUCAUGACUAGUGUACAUGUAGGUGUAACUGAGUAAGUUUAUACGGGAUGUAUGUGUGUGUGUGGGCGAGUGUGCGCCUAGCUGGGCUCGACGCCGUGCAUGGCGAGGAAGGCG
rnacentral:misc_RNA from 1 species